rnacentral:rRNA from 1 species
UGCCAGACUCCUACGGGAGGCAGCAGUGGGGAAUAUUGCACAAUGGGGGAAACCCUGAUGCAGCAACGCCGCGUGAGUGAAGAAGUAUUUCGGUAUGUAAAGCUCUAUCAGCAGGGAAGAAAAUGACGGUACCUGAGUAAGAAGCCCCGGCUAACUACGUGCCAGCAGCCGCGGUAAUACGUAGGGGGCAAGCGUUAUCCGGAUUUACUGGGUGUAAAGGGAGCGUAGACGGCGAUACAAGUCUGAAGUGAAAGCCCGGGGCUCAACCCCGGGACUGCUUUGGAAACUGUGUUGCUGGAGUGCUGGAGAGGCAAGCGGAAUUCCUAGUGUAGCGGUGAAAUGCGUAGAUAUUAGGAAGAACACCAGUGGCGAAGGCGGCUUGCUGGACAGUAACUGACGUUGAGGCUCGAAAGCGUGGGGAGCAAACAGGAUUAGAUACCCCUGUA